GGGUUGGACAGCCGCGCGGGAGCGUCGAAAGGCGCCUUGUGAGGAAAGUCCGGGCUCCGCAGGGCAAGGAUAACGGGUAACGCCCGCCGAAGGCAACUUCAGGAAAAGUGCAACAGAGAGAUACUACCCGCCGGCUUGCCGACGGGAAAAGGUGGAAACGUGAGGUAAGAGCUCACGCGCCGGUUGGAGACAAUCCGGUGAUGUAAACUCUAUCCGGAGCAACACCGUGGAGGAGGCUAUGGUCGGCCCGACCGUCUCCGAGGAGGUGGCUGGAGCGCAGCGGCAACGCUGCGCCUAGAUAGAUGGCUGUCAAAACAGAACCCGGCUUACAGACCCGAUCG
rnacentral:RNase_P_RNA from 1 species